GGGGCAGUAGCUCAGCUGGGCAGAGCGCGACGAUGGCAUCGUCGAGGCCGAGGGUUCAAGCCCCUCCUGCUCCACCA
rnacentral:tRNA from 1 species